rfam:Prauserella sp. Am3 HQ32_scaffold_21.22, whole genome shotgun sequence.
GAACACGUGGCGCGGAUGCCUUCAGGUUGCGGCCCUGAUGCACCUUCCCCGGUAUCAGGCCCGCAACCUGAAAGCAUCCGCCCACGAACAUCCGCU